GGGAACGAUUUUAUUUACUCGUGAAAAAUCAUCUCUUUCUGGGUCGUACCUUUUUUCUCUUUUAUCAUCUAUGUAUAUAUAUAUAUAUAUAUAUAUAUAUAUAUAUAUAUGUAUAUAUAUCAAAAAAAUUCAAUCUAUUUACUUCAAGUUAUUUCAUAUUUUUCCAAGAGCUAUCUCGUGCGGUUAUCUACUAAACCAUUUCUAUAUUACUUCUCCUUCUUUUUUUUUUUUUACCCUCUAAAAAUAGCGUUCACUCAUUGUUGAUAAGCUUGCGCAGGAAAGAAAAAAAAAAAAAAAAGAAAGCGAAAGAAAAAUAACUUGAAAUAGUUUUCGAGCACACGAUAAUCCACGAAAAGACAUUAUUCAUUCGUCGGAGCGAACGAAGCAGUCGAGGUAAAGGCGGUAAUAACGAAACGGCCUUCGAGUCGCGUACAUUGCUCAUCGCUUUUACGACGUUGAAACCGACCGAAUGAUUCUGACUCGAACGAACGGCAAGGAAAACGCGCUCUCCUCGAAACGCCUCGAACGAACAAGCCUUUGCGACGAACGUCCACUACUAGGCGUUUAUCGAUGCAAGAUAUGUGGAUAUUCUUCCUCUUAAGAAAGGUUCAUCGUACGAUGAAAGAGUUUCUUUUUGUCUCGAUUUUUCCCCUCUUUAGAUGAGAGGAUUCUCGAAAGUGAUACACAAAGAUCGGAUCUCAACUUCGAUUUAAUUUUGGAUCUCGUUUAUAGCUAGCAUGUACUUGUAUCUACGAGUUUGCGAUCGUUAAAGUCCAAUGGGUUCUUUUUAUCAUCGGCAACUUUCGUUUCUCCUUUUUUUUACUUCCAUUUCAUCGUCGUUCGAACGUCGUUAAUCGGCAGAAAUAUUGACUCUGAAAGACGUCACGCCUUUCGAAUCGUCACGGAUAUCGCCAUGGCCGAGAACGUGGAUGGAAAACCGAUGGAAACGAAUAGCGGGAUCAUCGAUAGGUAAGUUAGAAUGAACAAAAGAGUUGGUGUAACGUAGGAUGGUUGUUAAAACGAUAUACGUAUGCAUGUACAAACUUUCAUCGUCGAUCCUAUAACUGCAGUUUUAUAAUUUGCAUAUGUACUCAUGUAUAUUCUAGAAUAUUUUAAAAUAUAGAAUUAUUGCAUAUAAAAUAUAUGCAUAUAAAAUAUACAUAUUAUAUGUGCAUACAAACAUACACACACACACAC